CAGGAAGGAACAGGAGGCAAGAA
rnacentral:piRNA from 1 species